ACGACGUGCCAGCAGCCGCGGUAAUACGGAGGUGCAAGCGUUAAUCAGAAUUACUGGGCGUAAAGAGCGCGUAGGUGGUUUUUAAGUCAGGUGUGAAAUCCCUAGGCUCAACCUAGGAACUGCAUUUGAAACUGGAAAACUAGAGUUUCGUAGAGGGAGGUAGAAUUCUAGGUGUAGCGGUGAAAUGCGUAGAUAUCUGGAGGAAUACCCGUGGCGAAAGCGGCCUCCUAAACGAAAACUGACACUGAGGCGCGAAAGCGUGGGGGAGCAAACAGGAUUAGAUACCCUGGUAGUCCAUGCCGUAAACGAUGUCGACUUGGAGGUUGUUUCCAAGAGAAGUGACUUCCGAAGCUAACGCAUUAAGUCGACCGCCUGGGGAGUACGGCCGCAAGGCUA
rnacentral:rRNA from 1 species